rnacentral:rRNA from 1 species
CUACGGAGGGUGCAAGCGUUACUCGGAAUCACUGGGCGUAAAGCGCGCGCAGGCGGUCUUUUAAGUUGGAUGUGAAAGCCUACAGCUCAACUGUAGAACUGCAUCCAAAACUAUUAGACUAGAGUCUGGGAGGGGAAGAUGGAAUUAGUUGUGUAGGGGUAAAAUCCGUAGAGAUAACUAGGAAUACCAAAAGCGAAGGCGAUCUUCUGGAACAGUACUGACGCUGAGGCGCGAAAGCGUGGGGAGCAAACAGGAUUAGAAACCCUAGUAGUCC